rnacentral:rRNA from 1 species
UACGUAGGGUGCAAGCGUUAAUCGGAAUUACUGGGCGUAAAGCGUGCGCAGGCGGUGAUGUAAGACAGUUGUGAAAGCCCCCGGCUCAACUGGGGAGGGUCACGCGAUACUGUUCGACUCGAAGGCAGGAGAGGGAAGUGGAAUUCCCGGUGUAGUGGUGAAAUGCGUAGAUAUCGGGAGGAACACCAGUGGCGAAGGCGACUUCCUGGCCUGUUCUUGACGCUGAGGCGCGAAAGCUAGGGUAG